GAAAAUGGUUGUUGAAAAUAGAAGAAUGACUCAAGACAAAGGAAAUGGCUGACACAUUCUAGUGAUGCUACGCCCUCACUAAUUUUAGAUGGGUAAAAUACUCGCUAUCACUAAAGUUCCAACUAAUUUAACACCAUUACUCAAAUUUAAAUAAUAGGAAAUCAUUUUAAAGAUAAAACUAUAACAAAAUUACUAAAUUAAUAUUUUAAAAUAUUUGGGGUGUUACAAAAGGUCAAAGAGAUCCAAUAUUAACAAAGUUUACCCAUUAAGUUUUUAUCGGUGUUGGGCCGCAAAUGGGAUUUUGAUGUAUCUUAUUAGGUACUCAUAAAGUACUAAUCAAUCUAAGGCUUCAAAUCUACACGCCAGUAUUGAAAAAAACUCACGACAUAUUUCGGUACAUAAUAUCAAAAGAGUUCAACGUCAAAGAUGGUUGAAAAUAUUUUCACAUAUGGCGACACUACAAAUUUCAUGAACAUCAAGCACAUCAUCAAACUAUGAAGACGGUGAUGAUUAAAGAUCAAUAAUGAAGACGUCCAAGAAAAGUGUGUUCACAAGACUAGCUCAAUGGUACCAUUUGAAGAUAAUGUGGUGUAUAUAGAUCAAACUCAAACAAUGAUAGAGUCAAUCUCAACAUAUGAUCAACAAGACAGUGACACAAUCAAUCUUCAUCAAACAUGAUCGAGCAAUAAUUUGGCAGAUUAUUGAGUUAUUUGUAUACGAGAUCGACAUUUGAUAUUUUGAAGACGGGUAUUCAAAUGAGAGAGAGUAUUAUACGCACUGCACUAUUUUUCCUUUCACCGAGUUUUUAUCCCACUGGGUUUUUCUUGGGUUGUGAAGGAAAUGACGACAAGAUCACAUAGAGUUGGUGAAAUUGCAAAGAAUCUAUGUAUCCUCAUAGUGUGAGAUUCCAAGCAUCAUUUUGUUGAUUUGGAUAAGUGUUCACAUUCCUUCGAUGAUUCUUUCAUUUUGGCAAAUUGUUGUAAGCGGCGAUAAGCAGGUGAUCAAGCGGGCUUUGGGGACAAGAGAAGAGAGUAGAUAGAAGUGGACUUAGCACCCUCUUGCUUUAGAGUUUUAUUUCAAGCUUUAGAAGUAUUUAUUUUGAUUUGUAAGGUUGACUUUGGUUUGGAUUUGAAUAAGUUUAACGCCUUUUUGGCCUUUUAGUUCUUUGAUAUCAUUUUGUAUUGAUUAGAAAAUUAGGGGCGUUACAUUAAGCAUGUUUUAAGAUAUUUCUCAUUUUUCAUAUUUAUGAUCCUCAAGUACAAAGU